GCAGUGCACCACCAGACAGGACACCAUGUCCCUCUCGGAUGAGCCCUUUGGAGCAAUCGAUUCGCAAAUACGCAGAGGAACCUACAAAAAGUGUAAUACACCUCACAGGACACCUUGACCUGAGCUUCGAUUAACUGGGUGAGGUGUAUGACUUAUAGAAUCUCUAUUCUUGGGAGAUCCGGUUUGGUAUCACAUAUGGUAAAAGGAGAUUAAAUGUCGAGAGGACAAAUGCUUGCAGGAGAUCGUAUGUGGUUGUUUGGGCAAACCGGAGAUUUAUGAGCACCCGUACAUGACACAGAUAUACGAAAUCAGAACAAAGUGGGUGAAACCAUAUUUCAAAGGGGUUUUCUGCGUGAAGAUGACGAACAUACAACGCAGUGAGAGCGCGAAUCAAAUGUUGGAGACGUACAUGCCUCCUCAAGCCCAAUGCAUAUUUUUGUUAGGCAAUACAUGAGGUUACAGUUUGACUGCGAACGUGAAGAAAGCUACGAGGACAAGAGGAUGAUGAUUUGUAAGUAUUUUUUCAUGUACAAUUUCAGUAGCUCAGAGGAAUGCAUGCACAGUACGAACCAUGUUAAGCGUUCUGUUUACAUGUUUGACUGACGGACAAAAAAAAACUAAACCAUAAUAUGGCAGGCUGGAGCUGUCAGGAGUACAAAUUUGUGGUUGCCUCAACUAGCUAGUGUUAACGUCUCAGGUUUAGAACAUGGACUGCCGACUGGUAUGCUGAAAUGUGUUUUGCUACUGACACUUGGCCAACAUGCGGAAUACAACAAUGUGUUUGCCAGUUUUUGAGUGAACUGUGCGCAUGGCUAGAUUCGAACUUUGAACUGCUAGAAAGGUUAAAUGCAAGUACUAUAAGGCAGGUGGCAGGAUGCCAUCCCUCAAAGCAGUAUAAGAGUGUAACAUCCGGCAGAUGUUGUGUUGCCUUUCACCAUAGUUGCACAUUCAAAAACAUUUGAAGCUAGCGUUGCUUGCGAUGGCGCCAACGCCUGCUGAAGCCGCCAGGUGUGCCACGGCGAUGAGAUCCGAAUUGGUGGCUCUAGUGGUGGAUUGGAGAUUCAGUCAUCUUCCUCUUCGUCAAAGCUGCCUGCGCAAGACGGUGGCGGAGUGGACAAGGGAGAGGUUAUCCAAAGAGAUUGUCGUGGGAUUAUCAUGUUCAAGAAGAUGGCACAAUAUUACAGAGAAGAAGGAUACGGCGACCACGAUACUUUAGCUAUGCAGAAUGCAACGGCGGUGACACUGAUGUGGACCACGGAUCUCAUGUAGCGCGUGCGGUGGAAGAAACUGAAUCAGCUGAAAAGGAGGAAGUGAGCAGCAGGGGUCCUAAGCUACGCCGUACGCAGGCGUAGUAUGAGAUGGAAGGAUGAAUUCGUAACAACGUAUGUUUUUUUGAAGUUCAGAUAUAGUAUUACUUAACUAAGCAACUACAGGGAUCUCGUCUGCUACAAUGCCCAGAAUACAAUCUGGAGGAUAGUUUAGCCACUCCCUACAAACUUUAUUACAAACUCCCUCUCGCUAAAUAAUGAGCUGCACUAUUAGCAGACCUCCUAACCCAAGUUACAUUAAA